rnacentral:rRNA from 1 species
AGCGAACGCUGGCGGCAGGCCUAACACAUGCAAGUCGAACGAACCCUUCGGGGUUAGUGACGGACGGGUGAGUAACACGUGGGAACGUGCCUUAGGUUCGGAAUAACUCAGGGAAACUUGUGCUAAUACCGAAUGCGCCCUUCGGGGGAAAGAUUUAUCGCCUUUAGAGCGGCCCGCGUCUGAUCAGCUUGUUGGUGGGGUAAUGGCCCACCAAGGCGACGAUCAGUAGCUGGUCUGAGAGGAUGACCAGCCACAUUGGGACUGAGACACGGCCCAAACUCCUACGGGAGGCAGCAGUGGGGAAUCUUGCGCAAUGGGCGAAAGCCUGACGCAGCCAUGCCGCGUGGAUGAUGAAGGUCUUAGGAUUGUAAAAUCCUUUCACCGGUGAAGAUAAUGACUGUAGCCGGAGAAGAAGCCCCGGCUAACUUCGUGCCAGCCGCCGCCGUAACAC